CACGUAGGGUGCGAGCGUUGUCCGGAAUUAUUGGGCGUAAAGAGCUCGUAGGCGGUGUGUCGCGUCGGCCGUGAAAACCUGCAGCUUAACUGUGGGCGUGCGGUCGAUACGGGCAUCACUGGAGUUCGGCAGGGGAGACUGGAAUUCCUGGUGUAGCGGUGAAAUGCGCAGAUAUCAGGAGGAACACCGGUGGCGAAGGCGGGUCUCUGGGCCGAUACUGACGCUGAGGCACGAAGGUCAGGGGAGCAAACGGG
rnacentral:rRNA from 1 species